GCCCGGAGAUAGCUGGUUCUCCCCGAAAUAGCUUUAGGGCUAGCCUCAAGCGUAGAGAAACGGAGGUAGAGCACUGAAUGUCCUAGGGGGUAUUGCACUUACCGAAGACUAUCAAACUCCGAAUGCCGUUUUCUUUUACUUGGGAGUCAGACUGUGGGUGAUAAGAUUCAUAGUCAAAAGGGCAACAGCCCAGAUCGUCAGCUAAGGUCCCUAAAUGUACGUUAAGUGGUAAAGGAUGUGGGAUUGCACAGACAACCAGGAUGUUGGCUUAGAAGCAGCCACUCAUUUAAAGAGUGCGUAAUAGCUCACUGGUCGAGUGAUCCUGCGCCGAAAAUUUCCGGGGCUAAAACGUACUACCGAAGCUACGGCAUCAUUUAUGAUGGGUAGGGGAGCUUCGUAUGCAGGCUGAAGCAUGACCGUAAGGACAUGUGGACAGUAUACGAGUGAGAAUGUUGGCAUGAGUAGCGAGACGUGGGUGAGAAUCCCACGGGCCGUAAACCCAAGGUUUCCAGGGGAAGGUUCGUCCGCCCUGGGUUAGUCGGGACCUAAGCCGAGGCCGAAAGGCGUAGGUGAUGGACAACAGGUUGAUAUUCCUGUACCGCCAAUAAGCGUUUGAGAGAUGGAGUGACACAGUAGGAUAAGCUAACCGUACUGUUGGUUAUGUACGGCUAAGCAUUGAGGCAGUCUAAAUAGGCAAAUCCGUUUAGACAAUGCUAGGAUGUGAUGGGGAAGCCCUUCGGGGCGAAGUAGCUGAUUUCACACUGUCAAGAAAAGCUUCUAUCGAGUUUAAAGGCGCCCGUACCGUAAACCGACACAGGUGGGUGAGGAGAGUAUCCUAAGGCCAGCGAGAGAACUAUUGUUAAGGAACUCGGCAAAAUGACCCCGUAACUUAGGGAGAAGGGGUGCCUGUCUAUGACAGGCCGCAGAGAAUAGGCCCAAGCGACUGUUUACCAAAAACACAGGUUUCUGCUAAGUCGCAAGACGAUGUAUAGGAGCUGACGCCUGCCCGGUGCUGGAAGGUUAAGGGGAUCUGUUAGAGCAAUCGAAGCAGUGAACUUAAGCCCCAGUAAACGGCGGCCGUAACUAUAACGGUCCUAAGGUAGCGAAAUUCCUUGUCGGGUAAGUUCC
rnacentral:rRNA from 1 species